CAUGCCGGGGCUGUCUUUAUAGCUGAGACUCCCGCCGGGGCCCCGCCUGGCCGCCCCGGGCUGGUCCGGCCAAUCAGGAGUGGGAGCGGGCCCCGGGGGCGGGGCUUUCUCUCGGCUUGACUCACCCGAGUAGACGAAUCUGGCUUCGGCGGCGCACGCUCAGCCCCUCCUAAUAGCGCCGCGGACCUGCCCCUGAGGCCAGCUGGGUCCGCCUCCCCCCGCCGCCUCCUGGGCGAAGACGCCAGAAGGAGUCUCCCGUCCGGCUUCCCUCCUGAAUCCCUUCUUCAAUCAACUCCAAAUGUCAGCCAAAAGGGGAACCAGUCCCGUUUACUCUGCACCAAGAACGGCUGUGCCGGGGCUCGGGCAAAACCGCAGAGCCGGCUGCAAGAGUUGUGCUGGCAACCCGUGGGGCUCCUCCGCUGGGAAUCUCCUGGUCCUUGUGCAAGUAAGAUUCGUCUGAAAGUGUGGCAUCCUCUCGUUCUCUGCGCUUUCACUGGGAGCUACAAGCCUGAGCUGCUAGUGGUCAGCCAUCUUGGAUCUUUCUUCCCUGGCAUGAGAUUUUAAAGCCAAACAUACAAAUUAAAUUCCUCUUUUAGUACAGUAUUUUUAGUCUAGUAACAUCUCAUGACUCAAGAACUAUGUACCUCAAAGUAAAUGAAAUUGAGGUUCAAAGAGAUUUCAAGCCAUUCAAAAUAUGAAGGUACCCAGUGACUAUAAAUUACUAAACUUCUGGCAAUCUGUCUCUUUUCCUGACAUCUAAUUAAAGUUUUAUCAUAUAUGGGUAUUAAUUAUUGUUUUGAGCAUGGGCUCUGAAUUUUACUGAGUUCACUAGCUCUAGACACUUACAAAUAUGUUUUGCUAUAAAUUACUGGCACUGUUUCUGUUGAUAUUCAGCAUAAUCAAACAUUUGUAAGCAUGCUGUCUUUUCAAUCUGUUCAGCUGAUGCACUUUACCUGAUCUUUCAUUAAAGUAAUCAAAACACUUGCUGUGUCACAUCUAAUGAAUGUUGCAUGUAUGAUUAAGUGCUUUCAUUCAUAUUGCAAGUUUGAUUUAAUGUAAUCUGCCUUUCAGACAGCCAUUAGCAUAGCUCCUACAUGAAUUCGAUUAAUUGGCUGAAUUCUUCCAGAUGUCCAUUAAGCAUUACAGGAAUUUCUAUGUAGAAACAGCAGGGACUGUCUAGCACAGAACCAAACAAUGUAAUGUUAUAUUGCUGCCAUGACUUACAAAAAGCUAGAUUCAUUUUCAUUAAUAAAACAUCUGUACCCCUGCACAGCUAUGCAUUGAGAUGCAUUUAUUUUAUAUGUUUAUUUCUCUUAUGACUGUAAAAAGAUAGUUAAACAGAAGCACAGUUUCUGAAAUAUAGACCCAGAGUUUAACAGAUGCUGACUGACAAAACAGCUCAAUUUUUAGUUUACAGUAGGUCCUAAACAGAAGAAAAUACACUAACAGACACCUGUUUGAAACAGAAUUAAAG
rnacentral:lncRNA from 1 species